UACGGAGGGUGCAAGCGUUGUCCGGAUUUAUUGGGUUUAAAGGGUGCGUAGGCGGCCCGUUAAGUCAGCGGUGAAAGCCUCCAGCUCAACUGGAGAACUGCCAUUGAUACUGACGGGCUUGAGUACAGACGAGGUUGGCGGAAUUGAUUGUGUAGCGGUGAAAUGCGCAGAUAUCAGGAGGAACACCAAUGGCGAAGGCAGCACUCUGGGACGUGACUGACGCUGAGACGCGAAAGCGUGGGGAGCAAACAGG
rnacentral:rRNA from 1 species